GCAUCGAUAGUUUAGUGGUAGAAUUGAAGCUUCCCAUGCUUCAGGCACGGGUUCGAUUCCCGUUCGAUGCA
rnacentral:tRNA from 1 species